GGUUAUCCUUGCAUGGCUUGUAUUGAUGGACUUGUUAAGGUUUGCUCAACCCGCCUAUGUCCAUGAUAAGGCCUGAUAAUAUUGCACAAUUUUGAUAUUGUUGUGUGUAUUCCUUCCAACUGAUUUGUGGGGACAUCCGUUCUAGUUCAAUUCAUUGACUUCAAAACUUAACACCUCCUCUGAGCCGCAGACUUUUCAACGGUUUGAAGUAAAG
rnacentral:misc_RNA from 1 species